UAAGAAAAUUAUUGGAAUACCACUGACGAGUUCACAUCAUUGUUAAUUUGUCUGCAACACUAUUUGCUUCCCCGUUGACAUAACAAAACUGUAUAAGCCAUGGUUGCCGAAUAAGCUCCUGACGUUGAGCUAACUCAUUAGCAAACUUAAUAUUAUAGUCCCAUCAACAUAGAGAAUAUUCAAAAUAGUUUGGGAGCCAGUUCCACAAUUAAAUGUCAAAAACGCAACUCCCAUGCCAAAUGAAGAC
rnacentral:lncRNA from 1 species